rnacentral:rRNA from 1 species
AGGGAAUCUUCGGCAAUGGGGGCAACCCUGACCGAGCAACGCCGCGUGAGUGAAGAAGGUUUUCGGAUCGUAAAGCUCUGUUGUAAGUCAAGAACGGGUGUGAGAGUGGAAAGUUCACACUGUGACGGUAGCUUACCAGAAAGGGACGGCUAACUACGUGCCAGCAGCCGCGGUAAUACGUAGGUCCCCGAGCGUUGUCCGGAUUUAUUGGGCGUAAAGCGAGCGCAGGCGGUUUGAUAAGUCUGAAGUUAAAGGCUGUGGCUCAACCAUAGUCGCUUUGGAAACUGUCAAACUUGAGUGCAGAAGGGGAGAGUGGAAUUCCAUGUGUAGCGGUGAAAUGCGUAGAUAUAUGGAGGAACACCGGUGGCGAAAAGCGGCUCUCUGGUCUGUAACUGACGCUGAGGCUCGAAAGCGUGGGGAGCGAACAGGAUUAGAUACCCUGGUAGUCCACGCCGUAAACGAUGAGUGCUAGGUGUUGGAUCCUUUCCG